rnacentral:rRNA from 1 species
UACGUAGGGGGCGAGCGUUGUCCGGAAUCAUUGGGCGUAAAGAGCGUGUAGGCGGACUGGAAGGUCUGGUGUGAAAGCCCGGGGCUCAACCCCGGAGGGUCACUGGAAACCAACAGUCUUGAAUCUGGAAGAGGAGAGUGGAAUUCCUGGUGUAGCGGUGGAAUGCGCAGAUAUCAGGAGGAACACCGAUGGCGAAGGCAGAUCUCUGGGCCGUAACUGACGCUGAGAAACGAAAGCUUGGGUAGCGAACGGG